GAUGAACGCUAGCUACAGGCUUAACACAUGCAAGUCGAGGGGAAACGACAUCGAAAGCUUGCUUUUGAUGGGCGUCGACCGGCGCACGGGUGAGUAACGCGUAUCCAACCUGCCCACCACUCGGGGAUAACCUUGCGAAAGUAAGACUAAUACCCAAUGAUAUCCCACGAAGACAUCUGAAUGGGAUUAAAGAUUUAUCGGUGAUGGAUGGGGAUGCGUCUGAUUAGCUUGUUGGCGGGGUAACGGCCCACCAAGGCAACGAUCAGUAGGGGUUCUGAGAGGAAGGUCCCCCACAUUGGAACUGAGACACGGUCCAAACUCCUACGGGAGGCAGCAGUGAGGAAUAUUGGUCAAUGGGCGAGAGCCUGAACCAGCCAAGUAGCGUGCAGGAAGACGGCCCUAUGGGUUGUAAACUGCUUUUAGAAGGGAAUAAAGUGGGUCACGUGUGACUUUUUGCAUGUACCUUAUGAAUAAGGACCGGCUAAUUCCGUG
rnacentral:rRNA from 1 species